rnacentral:rRNA from 1 species
GUUUGACCUCAAAUCAGGUAGGAUUGCCCGCUGAACUUAAGCAUAUCAAUAAGCGGAGG